rnacentral:ncRNA from 1 species
GCUAUGAUUCUUUCGCUAGCUUAAGUAAAUUCUCACUCAAGCGGUGCGUGUUAUCACACGUGUGAAUCAUUUUCUGAAAUCU